rnacentral:rRNA from 1 species
GAGUGCAGANGGGGAGAGUGGAAUUCCAUGUGUAGCGGUGAAAUGCGUAGAUAUAUGGAGGAACACCAGUGGCGAAAGCGGCUNUCUGGUCUGUCACUGACGCUGAGGCUCGAAAGCGUGGGUAGCGAACAGGAUUAGAUACCCUGGUAGUNCACGCCGUAAACGAUGAGUGCUAGGUGUUAGGCCCUUUCCGGGGCUUAGUGCCGGAGCUAACGCAAUAAGCACUCCGCCUGGGGAGUACGACCGCAAGGUUGAAACUCAAAGGAAUUGACGGGGGCCCGCACAAGCGGUGGAGCAUGUGGUUUAAUUCGAAGCAACGCGAAGAACCUUACCAGGUCUUGACAUCCCGAUGCUAUUCUUAGAGAUAGGAAGUUACUUCGGUACAUCGGAGACAGGUGGUGCAUGGUUGUCGUCAGCUCGUGUCGUGAGAUGUUGGGUUAAGUCCCGCAACGAGCGCAACCCUUAUUGUUAGUUGCCAUCAUUAAGUUGGGCACUCUAGCGAGACUGCCGGUAAUAAACCGGAGGAAGGUGGGGAUGACGUCAAAUCAUCAUGCCCCUUAUGACCUGGGCUACACACGUGCUACAAUGGUCGGUACCACGAGUUGCGAGCCGGUGACGGCAAGCUAAUCUCUGAAAGCCGAUCUCAGUUCGGAUUGGAGGCUGCAACUCGCCUCCAUGAAGUCGGAAUCGCUAGUAAUCGCGGAUCAGCACGCCGCGGUGAAUACGUUCCCGGGCCUUGUACACACCGCCCGUCACACCACGAGAGUUUGUAACACCCGAAGUCGGUGAGGUAACCUUUUAGGGNCCA